rnacentral:tRNA from 1 species
CAGUAAAUAGUUUAAAUAAAACAUUAAUUUUGGAGAUUAAAAUUGGACUAAAUUGUUUUUUACUGA